AUUGAACGCUGGCGGCAGGCCUAACACAUGCAAGUCGAACGAGUGGCGGACGGGUGAGUAAUGUCUGGGAAACUGCCUGAUGGAGGGGGAUAACUCCUGGAAACGGUAGCUAAUACCGCAUACCAUCAGAUGUGCCCAGAUGGGAUUGGCUAGUUGGUGGGGUAACGGUGCACCAAGGCGACGAUCCCUAGCUGGUCUGAGAGGAUGACCAGCCACACUGGAACUGAGACACGGGCCAGACGCCGAAGGGAGGCAGCAGUGGGGAAUAUUGCACAAUGGGCGAAAGCCUGAUGCAGCCAUGCCGCGUGUAUGAAGAAGGCCUUCGGGUUGCAAAGUACUUUCAGCGGGGAGGCGUUACCCGCAGAAGAAGCACCGGCUAACUCCGUGCCAGCAGCCGCGGUAAUAC
rnacentral:rRNA from 1 species